AUGCGACAGCGAUUGUAGCGGCAUCCUUUUAUGUAGAAUCGUGAGCUGUGGCGAUCGAUUUAACAAAAAAGAUAUAGCGUAAAGCGCGGUUCCAG
rnacentral:sRNA from 1 species